CAGUCGCCGCGGUAAUACGGAGGGGGCUAGCGUUGUUCGGAAUUACUGGGCGUAAAGCGUACGUAGGCGGCUUUGUAAGUUAGAGGUGAAAGCCUGGUGCUCAACACCAGAACUGCCUUUAAGACUGCAUCGCUUGAACGUCGGAGAGGUGAGUGGAAUUCCGAGUGUAGAGGUGAAAUUCGUUGAUAUUCGGAAGAACACCAGUGGCGAAGGCGGCUCACUGGACGACUGUUGACGCUGAGGUACGAAAGCGUGGGGAGCAAACAGGAUUAGAUACCCCUGUAGUCCCUGUCUCUUAUAC
rnacentral:rRNA from 1 species